GCCAAUGAGCAUGCCUGUCAAGCUCAACUUAGUCAUCCACUGAACCUAACAUAUGGUUAACUGACAUCAAGAUGAAGUCAGCCAACUUGACCGACAUUUCUCUUUAUGUGUUGAGCCUUCAAACACCAACCUCUUCCUUUCAACUUUACUUGGUGCCAUCAAGAUGAGCAGUGAGUUGAAAAGUACCAAGUUAUCUCUGUGGGCCGCCUGUGAAUCCUGAGAGGGCCCUUUCUUCCUGUUACUGGAUGAGGCUGUGGUUGCCACGGUAACGGCAUGAGAGAGACACAGGCUGCCUUGGUCGUGUGCAAUUUCACAGCAGACUGAUGAACGGGGGCCUAAUGAGGAGAGUGUGUGCGAACUCACAACUCAGAUGUGCCGCAGCAAGAGACUGAACAUUAGCGAGUAAUAUACUCUGAAGCAGUGGAUGGUGUGCACACCUCCUGAGUCGGAGUAGAAGUCCACUCUGAAUACCUCUUCUCUGCCGGUGGCGUCUUGGAACAGCCUCUGGGAUAAGUUCAAUUGCCCUGGGAUCCAAUUCGGGAAAGUCAUAUUCCUGGUCGUAAUGCUGGCCCCUCCAUAAUGCAGUUGUGAUCAGCCUGAAUUAACCGACGCUGAAGUUGGAAAUUGACGAGAAGGUGUCCUCCGCCUCCCAUCUCAACCCAUUGGAACACACUGGGAAUGUGGAAUGUUCAGCGAGGGAGCUAAAGUUCACCUUAAAUCAGAGCAUGGUCUAUCAGCUCAAUAAUCAGGACCUCAACAAUUUCCAUUAGGGUAAAGUCACUGGUUUAUUUAGGGCUUUUUGUCCCACAUGGAAUCCCAUUCCCUAUGUAGUGCACUGGUCAAAAGUAGUGCACUACAUAGGAAAUAGGGUUUUUCCUAUGAUGUGCACUACUUUUGACCAGUGCACUAUAUAGGAAAUGGGAUUCCAUUUGGGAAGCAGCCGAGAUGUGGCAUGCAGGCAUGGACUAUGACAUCUACAGAGGGGUGGAAUGUUGGGUAAACAUUGUCACAUUAUGGUUCAUUAAGUACUGUACAGGGAGAGAAAUGCUGGGUGGCGAUUCACAAAGAACAGCAUUGAUUUCUUCACAUCUAUCAGUAUAUCUAAGAAGAAAUCACCCCACAAUACAUCACUGUUUUGUCAAAUUCUCUCAUGCAAUGACUCUAUUCUAUUAUACAGUACCCUGACGUCCAUAUAUUAGACAGAGUAGGAUAGGCUGCAUACUCAUGAGAACUAAUGCAUUCUCCAUACUCAGUCUCUAAUAGUGACGUGAUGUGCUUGAUAUGAGAUGAGAUAUAUUCACAAUCUACUAGUAACUCAGAAUCGGCAUGAAAAUUUGGGUGACAGAUUUCAGUGUGUGUCCCUCAACAGCAGAGUUAAGUUCAUUCCUGAUCCGUACUAGAGCCUGAACACUCAGUAAAAGCUGGACAGCUGCAAGCAGCAGAUGGACACCCCCUUUAAUUGCACACAACAUAAUUUCUACUAAAUAUAAAAAUUCAUGACAAUAAAGGACAUUAUAGACUCUGGGUCCAUGGGUAUGUGGACGAACAGUGUGUAUAUACAGCAGCCAGGAUUUCAUAGAGUUUGUUGGUCUCCAUAGAUCUCUCAAGUAAAAUAUUAAGCUGUCAACAACAACCACAAAAACAAAUCAAUGAUCAAUGAUGCUACCUUAAAACUGCAACAACAAAUUAGUUAUCUACAAGAAUGAGGAAUACACAACUCCCUGACUCCAGUCCACAUGCUCAAAUCAACGCCUUGCAUCUGUCUGUCUAAAGGUAUUCAUGUGUCCUCCUAGACAGCUGAUGAAACUGAGGAGUAUUUCUGUCUGUAAUAAUAUUCUGAUUGGCUGGGCCCCGAUCCCCAGUGGGUGGGCCUGGCUCUCAAGUGAGUGGGCCUAUGCCCUCCCAGGCUGUGCCCCUGCCCAGUCAUGUGAAAUCCAUAGAUUAGGGCCUAAAUAAUUUGUUUCAACUGAUGUAUUUCCUUAUGUGAAUUGUAACUCAGUAAAAUCUUUGAAAUUGUUAUAUUUA